UCUGUUCUUAUCAGUUUAAUAUCUGAUAUGUCUCCACUUGGAGACUGUAUAUUAAAUUGAUUUUUGAAACAGGGAGAUGGAAUAAGGGCUUGCUCUGUCCACUCCAUGCAUCAUCCUGGUAUUGCAGUGUUUCCAGGAAUGGUGC
rnacentral:snRNA from 1 species